UGGGGAAUCUUGCACAAUGGAGGAAACCCUGAUGCAGCGAUGCCGCGUGAGUGAAGAAGGCCCUUGGGUUGUAAAGCUCUUUUGUCGGGGAAGAAAAUGACUGUACCCGAAAAAGAAGGUCCGGCUAACUUCGUGCCAGCAGCCGCGGUAAUA
rnacentral:rRNA from 1 species